GCCAAUAUGGAUUUUGUAUUGAUUCAAUGGAUCCUAUUAAUAGGAGUUGUAUGUUGGCACUUUGAUUAUUAUUAAUUGAGCUCUAGCCCCUCAACAAAAAUUAGUAUGGAAUAUGUUGUUAUGUUUAUUCAUGAUAUUUAUUUUUAAAUAUCAUAUCUAAUGAUAAUAUUUGAAAUAUCUCGUUGAGAUUUUCAUUACUUCUAAACUAUCGAGCUCACUAUCUUUCCUUUAUUUUCAAAUUCUGACAUUUAGUCACGGAUGUGGGUGUUAAUUAGGAGUGAGACUAGAGAUGAGACUUGGCAUAACCAACAUCAUUGAACUUAGAUUUAU
rnacentral:lncRNA from 1 species